AAAAACGCUGGCGGCAGGCCUACACAUGCAGUCGAACGGGGCACCCAGAAGCUUGCUCCUUGGGUGGCGAGUGGCGGACGGGUGAGGAAUGCCUGGGAAUCUGCUCGGUCGUGGGGGAUAACUUAUGGAAACUUACGCUAAUACCGCAUACCACCUACGGGUGAAAGCGGGGGAUCUUCGGACCUUGUGCGAUUGAAUGAGCCCAUGUCGGAUUAGCUAGUUGGCGGGGUAAAGGCCCACCAAGGCGACGAUCCCUAGCUGGUCUGAGAGGAUGAUCAGCCACACUGGAACUGAGACACGGUCCAGACUCCUACGGGAGGCAGCAGUGGGGAAUAUUGCACAAUGGGCGCAAGCCUGAUGCAGCCAUGCCGCGUGUGUGAAGAAGGCCUUCGGGUUGUAAAGCCCUUUUGUUGGGAAAGAAAUCAGUCUGGCUAAUACCCUUGUGGGAUGACGGUACCCACAGAAUAAGCACCGGCUAACUUCGUGCCAGCAGCCGCGGUAAUACGAAGGGUGCAAGCGUUACUCGGAAUUACUGGGCGUAAAGCGUGCGUAGGUGGUCUGUUUAAGUCACGAUUGUGAAAUCCCCUGGGCUCAACCUGGGAACUGCAUGCUGAUACUGGCACGACUAGAGUCGUCGUAAGAGGGGUAGUAGAACUUCAUGUUGUAGCCAGUGAAAUGCGUAAAGAUCAGGAGGAAUCAUCGAUGGCGAAGGCAGCUACCUGGACCAACACUGACCCUGAGCACGAAAGCGUGGGGGAGCAAACAGGAUUAAAUACCCUGGUAGUCCACGCCGUAACGAUGUCGACUGAUGUUGGGUGCAAUGUGGCACGCAUUCUCGAGCUAACGCGUUAAUCUCCCCGCCUUGGGGAAUACGCUCCAAGUACUGAAU
rnacentral:rRNA from 1 species